rnacentral:tRNA from 1 species
AUUUAAAUAGUUUAAGGAAAAUUUUAAUUUGUGGAAUUAAAGAUGUAAUUUUUUACUUUAGAUA